rnacentral:misc_RNA from 1 species
CAAAUCAAUAUCUACACACAUUAAAGAAGCCAUUCUCUGAGCCAACCCUGGGACUUCUUGUAGCUGUUUGUAAGCAUCGGCGAGACGAAAAGUCCAGGCAUGGUCGACGAGAAAAACGUUGGACACUUCGGGCAUAGAGUCGGAGGUGAGGACGAGCCGCCUCUGACGGCCCUCCUCGCACGGCUCGACUUGGAAGUAGGCGCCGCCAUCGAAGGUCUCUGCAGCAAGUUUCUCGAACAGUUUGUAGUGCAGCGAUCGAGGUAGUCGGGAGGCAGCCAAUAGCAGACCGUGAACUUUGACGAAAUCCUCGUAGGUCUGUAUUCUUGUACCAGUGACAGACAUCUUACGAGGAUACUAUUG